rnacentral:rRNA from 1 species
GACGACGGGUACGGGUUGUGAGAGCAAGAGCCCGGAGAUGGAUUCUGAGACAUGAAUCCAGGCCCUACGGGGCGCAGCAGGCGCGAAAACUUUACAAUGCGGGAAACCGUGAUAAGGGGACACCGAGUGCCAGCAUUAUAUGUUGGCUGUCCGGGUGUGUAAAAUACACCUGUUAGCAAGGGCCGGGCAAGACCGGUGCCAGCCGCCGCGGUAACACCGGCGGCCCGAGUGGUGAUCGUGUUUAUUGGGUCUAAAGGGUCCGUAGCCGGUUUGGUCAGUCCUCCGGGAAAUCUGACGGCUUAACCGUUAGGCUUUCGGGGGAUACUGCCAGACUUGGAACCGGGAGAGGUAAGAGGUACUACAGGGGUAGGAGUGAAAUCUUGUAAUCCCUGUGGGACCACCUGUGGCGAAGGCGUCUUACCAGAACGGGUUCGACGGUGAGGGACGAAAGCUGGGGGCACGAACCGGAUUAGAUACCCGGGUAGUCCCAGCCGU